rnacentral:rRNA from 1 species
UGGGGAAUCUUCCGCAAUGGGGGGCGAAAGCCUGACGGAGCAACGCCGCGUGAGUGAUGACGGCCUUCGGGUUGUAAAGCUCUGUGAUCGGGGACGAACGGUCAGCAGACGAAUACUCUGCUGAAGUGACGGUACCCGAAUAGCAAGCCACGGCUAACUACGUGCCAGCAGCCGCGGCAAUACGUAGGUGGCAAGCGUUGUCCGGAAUUACUGGGUGUAAAGGGAGCGUAGACGGAACGGCAAGCUUGAAGUGAAAUACCUGGGCUUAACCCGGGAACUGCUUUGAAAACUGUCGAUCUAGAGUGUCGGAGAGGUAAGUGGAAUUCCUGGUGUAGUAGUGAAAUGCGUAGAUACCAGGAAGAACACCGGAGGCGAAGGCGGCUUACUGGACGAUAACUGACGUUGAGGCUCGAAAGCGUGGGGAGCAAACAGGAUUAGAUACCCUGGUAGU